rnacentral:lncRNA from 1 species
ACUGCAGCCUACACCCUUCCCGGCCCUCGGAGUAAGAAGAUAGAACAGUUGACCAGUUUUGUUUGUAAAACUUCUUUCCUUGCCUCGGACUUGUGCUAUAAAGUGACCAGGGCGUAGUGAGUACAGUUAGUACCGCACACGUUAGCACGCUCGACCUUAACGAUCUUUUUAUAGAGACAAUAAACCUGCAGCGUUUCAUGCCACGUCUUUGUACGCAUCGGAUGUCUCUCCGUGUAGUUACUAGGUGAAAUCCUCUUGGCGUGCGCAAAUUAGGUUAAAAAAAUAGCUGUCAAACCUGAGACAGGAGUUGGAGGAGUAGAGGGUGGCGCUUGUUAAGUGAAACAUUUAACCAGGAAUGGUAUUGUGUGCCAUCCUGUAUUAAACAAUGUAUGGACAGAGUGGAACAACAGCAAAGCAAAAAAUAAAAAUUUUUUAAAAAAAGUGAUCAUGGGCUGUGGCUAAAGAGUGCUUUAGAUGGAUUCUUCUCUUCCAC